AACAGCACAACAGCAGGGGAUAUGCUCAGACAGAACCACAACACACAGCAUCUUCCAUGGAACGGAGGAGGAAAAUGGAGAAGCAAGCUGGGGCAUUUCAAGCCAUGUAUUUGGCUAGUUAUAUCUGCCUUCAUCUGAUAUUCACCACUUCAUUUUGUAUUUCAAGGAUAUGCCUUAGCCUUGCUGCGGAGUGCUGCUGCCUACCUCCGGUACCGGACAAGGAGAAAAGAAGCUCUACAUGCCCACAGCGUCCUUCUCCUAGUGAUGUGCCACCACCUCAUACACCUCCCAGAUAUCUACAGAGGAAGUUAGAAUAUGAAGCUGAUGCCAGCAACCCAACAACUGCCCUUUUCUACUGGCUAGCUCCUGAUUCUAAACUGUGACAUCAGACAGCACAUCCUCAACACCAUCAACACACAUCAUCUUCCUACAACAGGAACAGCAUGGAACACUGGAGAUUUUGCCAGGUGAGAAGUCACCAGAUCAUUUUUCUAUGUUAAUGUAUCAUUUUUUAUAAGUGCUCACUAUGACAAAUUCUUUGCCAAGCCAUACUUCUGCAGAUGCACCAUCAAGGUAUUCACUCAUUAGUCUCAUCUCCUCCAGACUGUUUCUGCAUCCAAGACCACCUGCAGCAGAGCUCCCCUGGAAUAGGCCAGAACUUCAUGCAGAUCCCUGGUCCAGGUCCUGUCAAUUCCUUGGUUUUCUGCUGCUCAAGGCAGGUCAGGGACUCAGUCCAAGAUUUUUAGCAUGAAGGCACUUUAUCACUAAUGCACUGAAAACUGCAUCCAAUUUCUCCUGGGAGAAGGAACUCUGCCUUCCAACAGAGGUUGUGCAUCUAAACUGCCACCCUGCAGUAAAUUAGACCAUUUUAUAGCACCUGGUGUGAUUUGUUCUCAGCUUUUACUGAAUAUAGGCAUGUUUCUGUAUUUCAUUUCCACUGAAAACAAUCUUCAGGGUGCAAACAUCUCCCUCAGCUAGUUUAAGGGACUAAAAUACUUAUUGAUAGGGGAAAAAAAAUGGCUUAAACUAGUGUGAAAAUUCAGACAUCUCCAAAAGAAGCUGUUUUAGAAAUUACAUACUCCAGCUUUGCAUUUGUGGUUUACACACCUUUUCAAACAUCUGAAAAGAAUCCAUGUCUCUGAGAAGGUAAUUAAAACAUCAGAUACUGUAAAUAUCAGGUCAGCAUAAGAAAAAGUGAGUCAUAUAACAGGACGGGAAAAACAUUUAACAGAAAGUAAAAUAUCUGUUUGAUUAAAACAGAGCAAUCAUGAGCCAAACCUUAUUGUUCCUGCCUAUGCUUAACCCCAGCCACUAGCAGGGGGAUUUCAAACCAGUGGGGACUUGUGACAAUCCUGCAGACUAGGGGUCAGGUCCUCAUUCUGGACAGGGACUCGGCCCCAUCUCACUGCCUUUCAGCCAAACAUUGCAGUAAAACCCCUGCCCUUUGCAGUGCCAGCCUGUGUUACCCUUUUGAGAGAAAUGGUGUGUCCAUGACAGCAGUGUGUUUCCCUCUACAGCACACAUCUGCACCUCUCCAUCUUUUCUUGGGUUCACAAACAGCUAUGUGCGAGUUUCAGAGCAACCCCACUCCUCCAAGACACUAAAGGGCAUGACUGACUUGAUGCAGUUCCCUUCUACUCGGAGCAAACUCCACCUGCUUACAGAGCUACCUAAAACACCCUCUGCCCUCACAGGCUUCACCACACUCUGCAAACAACAUCCUCUCAUACACACAACAUGCCUGAAAUGCCAAUGCUUUGACAUCAGAAAUGGAAAAAUCUAUGAAA